CAGUCUUCCAAAAAAAAAUCAAUAUUUAAGUCAAAUUUGUGGCAAAUUUUGAGUGGUGUUAAGUUGGCAGGCUGAUGAUCAUUCCACUUUGCUGGAAACAGAAUUCAAAAUUAGCCUUGUUCCUCGAGAAAGUUGAUAGCAAUAGUGUCCCUUUAUUUUGUAGUGAGUUCCCUCCUCUUUAACCUUCCACUUUUUGACUUUACUCAUAAUUAUAUUUAUACUUUGUCCACCACUGACUGAAUUUAACACACACAUCCUUCUUCUUCUUCCCUGACUUCCCUUCAAUUUUCUGUCUCAUGCCAGGGCCCUUUCUACAUCAGGAGCAUUUGAGAAAGAGAAACCAAGGUAGACAAGGAUGAGUGCACACUAACAACAAAACACAUUCCAUUCAAAUCAUAUUUAUGUUUGUUACAUCAUAAAUCAGGUAAGGAACAGAAAGAAAGAAAAAAUGCUGAUUCUAUACCUCUGCACACCAAAAAUAAAAAAAAAAGUAUAUAGGAAACCAUUCCAACUGGUUAUCCUCUACCUGUUUUCAUCAGUUUUUUUUUUAUCAGUUUUUUGUUUUUUUGCUUCCCUCAGUCACUUUUUGUUGGAGGGGAGUAAGGAAUGCGGCCAAAGCAUGCUUACUCUUUGAAUAGAAUGUCUACAAAUUGUAUCUAGACGUUAUAUACAUGUGGGAAAUCAAGCUACAAAAACUGGGACACCAAAAUCACAUAUUGCAAGAAACUGGAAAGGUGAAAAAAAAAUGACACACCAAA